UACGAGGGGGGCAAGCGUUGUUCGGAAUUAUUGGGCGUAAAGGGUGCGUAGGCGGUUUGGUAAGUCUGAUGUGAAAUCUAUGGGCUCAACUCAUAGUCUGCAUCGGAAACUGCCGGGCUUGAGUGUGGGAGAGGUGAGUGGAAUUCCUGGUGUAGCGGUGAAAUACGUAGAUAUCAGGAGGAACACCGGCGGCGAAGGCGGCUAUCUGGUCCAACACUGACACUGAGGCCCGAAAGCGUGGGGAUCAAACAGG
rnacentral:rRNA from 1 species